rnacentral:lncRNA from 1 species
GGAACAGUAUGGGGAGGGCCUCAGUCAGGGAGACCAACAUGAAGGUUAGUGGUGAGAUGAGGGCCUGCGCUAGGGUGGUGGCAAUGUUUCUGCAGAGAGAGAUGUUUAUGAGAGAUGUGAAAGCAAAGGUGACGAGACUUGGCCACAGAUCAGAUGUUUGGGGUGAGGGCAAAGAAGAGUCAUGGGUAACCCUGAGCUAGUGACCCUGAAUGACUGGAGGAUGGGAGUAAUCGAGGGAGCUGGGAAGACCUGAAAGCUUGGGAGCAAUCAUUAUCAUUCUGUUUUGGAUAUGUGAAUUUUCAUGUAGUGACUUUUCUCAACUGUUUUCAUAUUGUUUUCCAGGAUGACUGGGUCAAUUCCCAGCACCAGAAGGAGUGAACAAUUGCACCUGCCUUUCCACAACCCCUCCAACAAUGACUCCAUCUUUUCUCAUUUUUGCCAAUUUGAUUGAGAGACCGAUUGAUCUCACCCUGCCCCGCUUCUCCUCGUCACUUUUUCCAGUGUGUUGCUUUAAUGGUCUCUUCUCGAAUCUUCCCAGGAAAAAUUCUACUCUUCUUUCUGGAAGCAGGUGACAGAAAGAAGGGCUAUUAAUAAUUGUGAUGACGAUGAUGGUGAUGAUGAAGAAAGCCAGUGCUUUAAGGUUUAUGAAGCACUUGGAACAUGUUAACUCACUUGACCUCCACAACAACUCUGUAAAACGCCUGUGGCAAUCUGGUAAAGCCAAUAGACCAUUUCCCAGGAAAAUGGUGUUACAUGCAUUAAAUAAAAUACAGAGGAUUACAAAGGAAACCACUUGCAUUGAAACAAAGAACUGCACCAACGAAUAAAAAUGAGAUGAUAUGUGAUCAAACUGAGACAAUUCCAACUUGACUUAUUUAAGUAAGCUGCUGAGAGUGAAAAAUGACAAAUGGAUAAAAUAA